GUAUGCAUGGCAUAGUGGUUUGGGUGUUGGACUAUGACUCUGGAGACCAUGGUUCAAUUCCCUACUUGGCCA